rnacentral:rRNA from 1 species
GCCGGACCUGACUGCUAUCGGAUUGGUACUAAGCCAUGCGAGUCGUUGUAGCAAUACAAGGCAGACGGCUCAGUAACACGUAGUCAACCUAACCUACGGACGGGGAUAACCUCGGGAAACUGAGAAUAAUACCCGAUAGAUCAUAAUGCCUGGAAUGGUUUAUGGUCAAAACGAUUUAUCGCCAUAGGAUGGGACUGCGGCCUAUCAGCUUGUUGGUGAGGUAAUGGCCCACCAAGGCUAUAACAGGUACGGGCUCUGAGAGGAGAAGCCCGGAGAUGGGUACUGAGACACGGACCCAGGCCCUAUGGGGCGCAGCAGGCGAGAAACCUUAGCAAUGUGCGAAAGCACGACUAGGUUAAUCCGAGUGAUUUCUGCUGAAGAAAUCUUUUGUCAGUUCUAAAACUACCGACGAAUAAGGGGUGGGCAAGUCUGGUGUCAGCCGCCGCGGUAAUACCAGCACCUCGAGUGGUCAGGAGGUUUAUUGGGCCUAAAGCAUCCGUAGCCGGCUAUGCAAGUCUCCGGUUAAAUCCAGUUGCUCAACAAAUGGGCCGCCGGAGAUACUACACAGCUAGGGAGCGGGAGAGGUAGACGGUAUUCGGUGGGUAGGGGUAAAAUCCUCUGAUCCAUUGAGGACCA